UACGAAGGGUGCAAGCGUUAAUCGGAAUUACUGGGCGUAAAGGGUGCGUAGGCGGUUCGUUAAGUCUGUCGUGAAAUCCCCGGGCUCAACCUGGGAAUGGCGAUGGAUACUGGCGAGCUAGAGUGUGUCAGAGGAUGGUGGAAUUCCCGGUGUAGCGGUGAAAUGCGUAGAGAUCGGGAGGAACAUCAGUUGCGAAGGCGGCCAUCUGGGACAACACUGACGCUGAAGCACGAAAGCGUGGGGAGCAAACAGG
rnacentral:rRNA from 1 species